UACCAGGACUAUGCAAUAAACAUACUUCAUUCUAUCUGAUUUUGGAAACUACACAGGCUCAUGUCUGGUUAGUACCUGGAUGGGAGACCAUGAGGAAAUAUCAGGGGUGGUAA
rnacentral:rRNA from 1 species